AGGUAGCGAGGUAAUUUGUCUCUUAAUUGGUGACGAGACAUGAACGAAGAUACGGGGAAAUGCUGUUUCACAGGGUAUAAAUUUAAUUUUACAUGUGUGUGAAGAGGCAGACAUUAGUUAGAAGGACGACAAGACCCUAAAAGCUUUAUCUUGGGGUGCUAGAAUACUAGUUCCUUCUGGUUUUGUUGGGGCAACAGGUGAAAGGAAAAGUGCUCCCCCUUUUUAAGUUAUAUAGCUGAGUAUUUGGCUUAAAGUUCAGUCGUGUAAAAAUAACCACUUUUGUUUAGUGUUAAUUAAAUAUCACAAAAGUGAAAAUGAGUAGUUACUUUAGGGAUAACAGCGUAAUUUUUCUUUAUAGUUCGUAUUGAAAGAGAAGAUUGCGACCUCGAUGUUGGAUUAAGG
rnacentral:rRNA from 1 species